UACGUAGGGGGCUAGCGUUGUCCGGAUUUAUUGGGCGUAAAGAGCGUGUAGGCGGCCAUGUAGGUCCGGUGUGAAAACUCGAGGCUCAACCUCGAGACGCCGAUGGAAACCAUCAGACUAGAGUCCGGAAGAGGAGAGUCGGAAUUCCUGGUGUAGCGGUGAAAUGCGCAGAUAUCAGGAAGAACACCCGUGGCUAAGGCGGCUCUCUAGUACGGUACUGACGCUGAGACGCGAAAGCGUGGGGAGCGAACAGG
rnacentral:rRNA from 1 species